AAACACGGACCAAGGAGUCUAGCAUGUGCGCGAGUCAUUGGGACUUACUAAACCUAAAGGCGCAAUGAAAGUGAAGGUCCGCCUUGCGCGGACCAAGGGAAGAUGGGCGUGUCCGGUGAUUACCACGGCCGUCCCGCACUCCCGGGGCGUCUCGUUCUCAUUGCGAGAAGAGGCGCACCAAGAGCGUACACGCUGGGACCCGAAAGAUGGUGAACUAUGCCUGGUCAGGACGAAGUCAGGGGAAACCCUGAUGGAGGUCCGUAGCGAUUCUGACGUGCAAAUCGAUCGUCGGAACUGGGUAUAGGGGCGAAAGACUAAUCGAACCAUCUAGUAGCUGGUUCCCUCCGAAGUUUCCCUCAGGAUAGCUGGCGCUCGUUGCAUACGAGUCUCAUCCGGUAAAGCGAAUGAUUAGAGGCAUUGGGGUCGAAACGGCCUCAACCUAUUCUCAAACUUUAAAUGGGUGAGAUCUCCGGCUUGCUCAAACAUUUUUUAAAUGAAGCCGCGAGAAACGGAUCAGAGUGCCAAGUGGGCCAUUUUUGGUAAGCAGAACUGGCGCUGUGGGAUGAACCAAACGCCGAGUUAAAGCGCCUAAAUCGACGCUUAUGGGAUACCAUGAAAGGCGUUGGUAACUUAAGACAGCAGGACGGUGGCCAUGGAAGUCGGAAUCCG
rnacentral:rRNA from 1 species